GUAAUUUAGCUCGCAUUUCGCGAGCUAGCUCAUGUUCGACUCAAAUGAGCUCGAGAUCGAAUCGUUUAUUUAAUAAAUGAGCCGAACACGAGCUGAACUGAAUUUUUCAGUUCGUUUAGUAAACGAACCGAACACGAGCUGGGAUCAACUGCUCAUAUUCGGCUCAAUAACCGCUCGAAUACAUAUAUUUUAUAUUUAUAUAAUUUAUAUUUUUUCUAUUUAUAUAAAUAAAUAACUAAUUAUAUAUAUUUUUAAUCUUUUUAACUUGCUGCUUUGUGUUCAGUUCAUUAAUAAACGAGUCAAACAUAAGCUGAAUUUUUCAACUCGAGCUUGUUCUAUAAGUCAGUUCGUGUCUGGCUCGUUUAUAAAC
rnacentral:lncRNA from 1 species